rnacentral:misc_RNA from 1 species
ACACCUCAACUCUCAUGGUCCGCCAUGAUGAGCUUGGACUUUGGGGGUCUUGCUGGCCUAUGGGUCGGCUCCUCUCAAAUGAAUCAGCUUGCCAGUGUUUGGUGGCAUCACAGGUGUGAUAACUAUCUACGCUUGUGGUUUUCCAUCAGGUAACCUUCAGUGAUGGAGGUUCGCUGGGGCUCAUAAAUGUCUCUCCUCAGUGAGGACAGCUUUUUAAC